CCUACGGGUGGCAGCAGUGGGGGAUAUUGCACAAUGGGGGCAACCCUGAUGCAGCGAAGCCGCGUGUGUGAAGAAGCGCCUCGGCGCGUAAAACCCUUUCAGCAGGGAAAACAAUGACGGUCCCUGAAGAAGCAGCCCCGGCUAACUACGUGCCAGCAGCCGCGAUAAUACGGAGGGGGCAGGCGUUAUCCGUAUGUACUGGGUGUAAAGGGGGCGCAGACUGAGAUGCAAGCCAGGAGUGAAAGCCGUGGGCCCAACCCCGGGACUGCACUUGGAACUGCGUGGCUGGAGUGCAGGAGAGGCAGGCGGAAUUCCUGGUGUAGCGGUGAAAUGCUUAGAGAUCAGGAGGAACACCGGUGGCGAAGGCGGCCUGCUGGACUGCAACUGACGUUGAGGCCCGAAAGCGUGGGGAGCAAACAGGAUUAGAUACCCUGGUAGUC
rnacentral:rRNA from 1 species